UGGGGGAUAUUGCACAAUGGGCGCAAGCCUGAUGCAGCGACGCCGCGUGGAGGAUGAAGGUUUUCGGAUUGUAAACUCCUGUUACGUGGGAAAAAAUGCUCUGUUUUAAUAGAACAGAGAGCUGAUGGUACCACGAGAGAAAGCACCGGCAAACUUCGUGCCAGCAGCCGCGGUAAUACGAAGGGUGCAAGCGUUAUUCGGAAUAACUGGGUGUAAAGAGCGUGAAGGCGGUUUUAUAAGUCAUUUGUAAAAGAGCUCGGCUUAACUGAGUACCUGCAGAUGAGACUGUAGAACUAGAGUGCAGGAGAGAAAGGUGGAAUUCUCGGAGUAGCGGUAAAAUGCGUAGAUCUCGAGAGGAACAUCGGUUGCGAAGGCGGCCUUUUGGCCUGUAACUGACGCUCAAGCGCGAAAGCGUGGGGAGCAAACAGG
rnacentral:rRNA from 1 species